AGAUACCGUCGUAGUCCUAACUAUAAACGAUGUCAACCAAGGAUUGGAUGAAAUUCAGAUAUAUUUUGAUGAAAAAACAUUGUUUUUGAUUUAAAAUGUAUCAAUACUACCUUGUUCAGAACUUAAAGAGAAAUCUUGAGUUUAUGGACUUCAGGGGGAGUAUGGUCACAAGGCUGAAACUUAAAGGAAUUGACGGAAGGGCACACCAGGAGUGGAGCCUGCGGCUUAAUUUGACUCAACACGGGAAAACUUACA
rnacentral:rRNA from 1 species